rnacentral:rRNA from 1 species
UCCGUAGGUGAACCUGCGGAAGGAUCAUUAAAAAUGCUGGGCUCGGCUUUUACGGCCGUUUCCUACUAUUUUUACUGUGCACUGUCUAUUUUUUCUCUCUUUUUUUUUUUUUUUUCUCUUUCGGGGGGAAAAUUAAAGGGGGAAAAAGCCUGGGUGUAUACCUUUUUUCCUUUGGGAGAAUAUGGAAUCGCCCGGGGGGUCUUGAUUCAUUUCUUGGCCCAACUUUUAUACUAUUCUGACUGAACCAAAACAUGAAAAUUGUUAACAUAUAAACAACUUUCAGCAAUGGAUCUCUCGGCUUUCGUAUCGAUGAAGAACGCAGCAAAUCGCGAUAUGUAGUGUGAUCUGCCUAUGGUGAAUCAUCAAAUCUUUGAACGCAUCUUGCACCCUUGGGUAUUCCUGAGGGUACGCCUGUUUCAGUAUCAUUCUAACUUCUCGCCCAAAAUUUAUUUUUUGGCUGGAAAAAUCACUAUUGGCCUAAAGAAUGGGGUUUCGGCCCUCCUUUUUGGCUUAAAUACUAGGCUAGUAAUUUUAACUGGUAAUUACCUUUUGGUAGAGUAUUCUGCAGAAAAAGUAAAACUAAUUAAAAUUGGCCCAACCCUUACCAAUUUGAUCUGAAAUCAGGCGGGACUACCCGCUGAACUUAAGCAUAUCAAUAAGCGGAGGA